GGAAGGUGCAAGCGUUAAUCGGAAUCACUGGGGCGUAAAGCGCGCGUAGGCGGCUAGAUAAGUCGGGUGUGAAAGCCCUGGGGCUCAACCUGGGGAACUGCAUUCGAUACUGUCUGGCUAGAGUGUGAUAGAGGGAGGCGGAAUUCCGCAUGUAGCGGUGAAAUGCGUAGAGAUGCGGAGGAACACCAAUGGCGAAGGCAGCCUCCUGGAUCAACACUGACGCUGAGGCGCGAAAGCGAGGGGAGCAAACAGGAUUAGGUACCCUGGUAGUCCACGCUGUAAACGAUGUCAACUAGCCGUUGGGAGCAUUUUGGCUCUUGGUGGCGCAGCUAACGCGAUAAGUUGACCGCCUGGGGAGUACGGUCGCAAGAUUA
rnacentral:rRNA from 1 species